AAAUGAAUUGACGGGGACUCGCACAAGCGGUGGAGCAUGCGGUUUAAUUCGAUGCAACGCGAAGAACCUUACCAGGUCUUGACAUACUGUUGAUUGGUCUAGAGAUAGAUCGUUUCUUCGGAACAACAGAUACAGGUGGUGCAUGGUUGUCGUCAGCUCGUGUCGUGAGAUGUUGGGUUAAGUCCCGCAACGAGCGCAACCCUUAUCAUUAGUUGCUAACAUUCAGUUGAGCACUCUAAUGAGACCGCCGGUGUAAACCGGAUGAAGGUGGGGAUGACGUCAAAUCAUCAUGCCCCUUAUGACCUGGGCUACACGCGUGCUACAAUGGCUAGUACAAAGAGUUGCGAAACCGCGAGGUGGAGCUAAUCUCAUAAAGCUAGUCUCAGUUCGGAUUGUAGUCUGCAACUCGACUACAUGAAGUUGGAAUCGCUAGUAAUCGUGAAUCAGAAUGUCACGGUGAAUACGUUCUCGAGUCUUGCACACACCGCCCGU
rnacentral:rRNA from 1 species